GGCAUGCUUAACACAUGCAAGUCGAACGGUAACAGGCCGCUGUGAUCCCUUCGGGGUGAACUUGGCGCUGACGAGUGGCGGACGGGUGAGUAAUGCUUAGGAAUCUGCCCAGUAGUGGGGGACAACCCGGGGAAACCCGGGCUAAUACCGCAUACGCUCUACGGAGGAAAGCGGGGGAUCUUCGGACCUCGCGCUAUUGGAUGAGCCUAAGUCGGAUUAGCUUGUUGGUGGGGUAAUGGCCUACCAAGGCGACGAUCCGUAGCUGGUCUGAGAGGACGACCAGCCACACUGGGACUGAGACACGGCCCAGACUCCUACGGGAGGCAGCAGUGGGGAAUAUUGGACAAUGGGCGCAAGCCUGAUCCAGCAAUGCCGCGUGUGUGAAGAAGGCCUGCGGGUUGUAAAGCACUUUCAGUUGGGAAGAAAAGCUCGAGAUUAACACCCUCGGGUCUUGACGUUACCUACAGAAGAAGCACCGGCCAACUCCGUGCCAGCAGCCGCGGUAAUACGGAGGGUGCGAGCGUUAAUCGGAAUUACUGGGCGUAAAGCGCACGCAGGUGGCUGGGUCAGUCGGAUGUGAAAUCCCCGGGCUUAACCUGGGAAUUGCAUUCGAAACUGCCCGGCUA
rnacentral:rRNA from 1 species